UAGAGAAUGAGGUGAACCAAAAUUAUUA
rnacentral:piRNA from 1 species